ACGCUGUAGGUGACGCAGGAGACCUUGCGGCGGAGGGCGAUGGCGAUGACGAUGGGGUCCAAGGCGGUGCGGUGGUUGCAGACGUAGAGGUUGCCGGGGGAACCUGGGGAGGGGGGCGGAGGAGGGUUGCCUCGGAUAACAAGGUUGAUGCCCAGCAUCGGGUAGGUGUAGCGGACGAUGCGCUCUGGGAGGGGGAGGUUGAAGUAGACUCGGAAGAUAGAGAGUGCAAACCCAAAUGGAAGCCAGAGGUAGAUGAUGAGGGCCGUGAGUGGCGUGGGGGGUUGGACGAACCGACCAUCGUGGAAUAUUAUUGGGGUUUUCAGGCGGUUGGGUGGCACCGGCGUAGCUGAUUUACUCGGAAGCACCAUGUAUCCCUCCUGUUCAAACUCCAAGUCGCAGAACCAUCAGCAAGAGCAUAGGGGUAAUUUGGGAAUUCAACACUAAAAUAACAUACAAGUGGAUUCUCGACACAUUACUAGAAUUCUUUCUCAAAACAAACCAAAUUAUUCUAAUCAUCAUAAAUAUUUCAAAUAAUUUUAUACAGAAAACAGAAAAAAUAAUAUCACAAAAUUUUAUAUAAAAUUAAGAAUAUUUAUCAUCUGGAAAAAAAAAAUUAUUUCUAAAUUUCUCGAUUUCUAGCUUGUAUGUAAUAAAAAAGGUAGAACAAAGAGGCCGUUCCAAAUAUGGAAGAUGAGUAAAGGAAAUGGCAUCGAAGGAGCAAGGCUCGAGAUUAGUUUGGAAAGAGCAAUAAGUUUGUUGUCCUCCAUGUGCCGCCAACGAUUUUGCUGCCAGGUAGUUGAGGAUGGUAAAUGCAGUGAUUCCCUCAGGGUCAAAGCUACAGGCUACACGGAGAUCGACUUUACCGACUGUCACUUUUUCUGAAUCUUUUGAUUUAUUCUUUUGCUAAAUCAAUCAUAAAAAAAAAAAAAACUAAAUUCAAGUCUCAGUGAAAUGAAUUCGUCUUUGAUUUUGUAAGAUGAAGUAGAUAAGUGUGAUGUCGUUCAUAAAAGUAAAAUAAAAAGUGUAUAAAUCUUGAAAAACGACCACAAAAAUUUCCAAAAAUGAAUAUGACUUUACUACCAUUUUACUAAGUUAAAUUUGGCUUAGAUCGAUUGAAUAAUGUGUAGAAGCAAAGCAUAUCUUGCAGGAAAAUUACAAAUCACUUCCACAAUUGUAGAACAUAUUUUCAAAACUAUGUAAAUUCUAAAAAUCGUUUUGGAGAGAUGUUUGCUUCCAUAGAAGCCAUGCAAGAAAUCAGUUACUCUUUCAAAACUAUUUCAUCAAUGUUUGAAAAAUCUAGAAGAAUUUGUUGUUUCUUUUUUUUUUUUGUUAAGUAAAUUAGAUAAAUAACAAACACUAACCUUGCAAAUGGACAUGAAAUCAUGAUCAGACUCGCGGUCACCAAUCCCGAUAUCAGGCAAUUCAUCACCAAACUCCUUCAACAGCGCCAAUCUCUUUCUGUCUCCAACCAACACCCCUGGCUUCUUCACGAAACCAGUGGCCUUCUUCGUCUUCGGAUUCACCUCAAUCUCCGUCCCUAACACCUUCGUUCCGCCAAGAAAAUCUCUCACGAACGGCUCAACCAUCAACGUCGGGUUGGCCGUCACCACCACCUUCCGUUCGCACUUCUCGAACACCUCCCAGCUCUCUCGCCUCACGUCGUUGGCGUAGAACCGCGGCAGCACCGCCUGCGACGCGAGCUCGAUGUCUCGGAUCUUGAGGCCGGAAAAUGAAAUGAAGAUGAGAAUCUGAAUUCCGAUUUCUUCUGAGAUGAAGAGGUAGGCAACGAUCACUAUAGGAAGAGAGAGCAGAAGGAAGAGACCGCGUAGGAGGCUGCCGGCUUCGACGGCGACAAGCAUGAAGUAAGGGAAGGAGGAGCGAGAGACGAGGAGAGUGCCAUCGAGGUCGGCCGCAAUAGAGCGAUGGUCGCCGCCGGCGUAGGUAGUGAUGGAGGGAAAUUUUCGGGCG
rnacentral:lncRNA from 1 species